AGAGUUUGAUCCUGGCUCAGAGUGAACGCUGGCGGCGUGCCUAACACAUGCAAGUCGAACGGUAACAGGGACUACGGUCUGCUGACGAGUGGCGCACGGGUGAGUAACGCAUAGGUAAUGUGCCCCCUGGAUCGGGAUAGCCACUGGAAACGGCGAUUAAUACCGAAUACUCCUUUUCAUCACAUGGUGAUUUGGGAAAUGUUUUUCGCCAGGGGAUCAGCCUAUGUCCCAUCAGCUUGUUGGUAGUGUAAGAGACUACCAAGGCUAUGACGGGUAGCUGGUUUGAGAGGAUGAUCAGCCACACUGGAACUGAGACACGGUCCAGACUCCUACGGGAGGCAGCAGUGAGGAAUAUUGCACAAUGGGCGAAAGCCUGAUGCAGCAACGCCGCGUGGAGGAUGACGCAUUUCGGUGUGCAAACUCCUUUUAUCAGAGAAGAUAAUGACGGUAUCUGAUGAAUGAGCGCCGGCUAACUCCGUGCCAGCAGCCGCGGUAAUACGGAGGGCGCAAGCGUUACUCGGAAUCACUGGGCGUAAAGGACGCGUAGGCUGGUUCGUCAGUCAGGUGUGAAAUCCAAUGGCUUAACCAUUGAACUGCACUUGAAACUGCGAACCUAGAGUAUGGAAGGGGCAGAUGGAAUUAGUGGUGUAGGGGUAAAAUCCGUAGAUAUCACUAGGAAUACCGAAAGCGAAAGCGAUCUGCUGGGACAUUACUGACGCUGAGGCGUGAAAGCGUGGGGAGCAAACAGGAUUAGAUACCCUGGUAGUCCACGCCCUAAACGAUGAAUGCUAGUCGUCGGGGAGCUUGUCUCUUCGGUGAUGCACUUAACAGAUUAAGCAUUCCGCCUGGGGAGUACGGUCGCAAGAUUAAAACUCAAAGGAAUAGACGGGGACCCGCACAAGUGGUGGAGCAUGUGGUUUAAUUCGAAGAUACGCGAAGAACCUUACCUGGCCUUGACAUCCCAAUAACUUUCCAGAGAUGGAUUGGUGCUAGCUUGCUAGAAAUUGGUGACAGGUGCUGCACGGCUGUCGUCAGCUCGUGUCGUGAGAUGUUGGGUUAAGUCCCGCAACGAGCGCAACCCUCGUCCUUAGUUGCUAACAGUUCGGCUGAGCACUCUAAGGAGACUGCCUUCGCAAGGAGGAGGAAGGUGAGGACGACGUCAAGUCAUCAUGGCCCUUACGGCCAGGGCUACACACGUGCUACAAUGGGGCGUACAGAGAGCUGCAAUACCGCGAGGUGGAGCCAAUCUCACAAAGCGUCUCUCAGUUCGGAUUGUUCUCUGCAACUCGAGAGCAUGAAGCUGGAAUCACUAGUAAUCGUAGAUCAGCAAUGCUACGGUGAAUACGUUCCCGGGUCUUGUACUCACCGCCCGUCACACCAUGGGAGUUGAUUUCACCCGAAAUCGGGAUGCCAAACUGGCUACCGCUUACGGUGGGAUUAGCGACUGGGGUGAAGUCGUAACAAGGUA
rnacentral:rRNA from 1 species